rnacentral:rRNA from 1 species
UACAGAGGGGGCAAGCGUUGUUCGGAAUUACUGGGCGUAAGGCUCGUAGGCGGCCAACUAAGUCGGAUGUGAAAGCCCCCGGCUCAACCGGGGAAGUGCAUCCGAAACUGGCGGGCUAGAGUACGAAAGAGGGUCGCGGAAUUCCCGGUGUAGAGGUGAAAUUCGUAGAUAUCGGGAGGAACACCGGUGGCGAAGGCGGCGACCUGGGUCGAUACUGACGGCUGAGGUGCGAAAGCGUGGGGAGCAACAGG